rnacentral:rRNA from 1 species
AUUGAACGCUGGCGGCAGGCCUAACACAUGCAAGUCGAGCGGCUGAAGGGAGCUUGCUCCUGGUUUCAGCGGCGGACGGGUGAGUAAUGCCUGGGAAUCUGCCUGGUUGUGUGUUCGAACGUCCGGACACGGGCGCUAAUACCGCAAUAGCCCUGAGGGAGUACGUGGGGGAUCUUCGGACCUCCCGCUAUCACGUGAGUCUAGGUCGGAUUAGCUAGUUGGUGGGGUAAAGGCCUACCAAGGCGACGAUCCGUAACUGGUCUGAGAGGAUGAUCAGUCACACUGGAACUGAGACACGGUCCAGACUCCUACGGGAGGCAGCAGUGGGGAAUAUUGGACAAUGGGCGCAAGCCUGAUCCAGCCAUGCCGCGUGUGUGAAGAAGGUCUUCGGAUUGUAAAGCCCUUUUAGUUGGAAAGAAGAGCAGUAGGUUAAUACCUCGCUGUUUUGACGUUACCAAAAGAAUAAGCACCGGCUAACUUCGUG